rnacentral:lncRNA from 1 species
UGACAAGUGGUGCUCUAAAGCCCAACCAACUCCAUUUUUUAAAGAAGAAGCUCCAGUUUGUACGAGGCCUGACUCCAAUUCCAGGAUGAAAGCCAUGAAGACCACUUGUGCGAACAUCAUACGGCAACUGCCCGGACUCCUGGACCCUACCCCUAGCAACGGCCAGUCAGGCUACACUGGCAGGGCCAAGAUCCUGCUACUGCACUGACCAUGCUGGAACAAGGCUGACCCAUCCUUCUUAGAAGGAGAUACUGAGGAGACCAGGUCUGCACCACAAGAAGAUGAAAGGGCGACCCUUGAAAAUCAUGUCUGUGGAGUUUAUUUUAAACAGUUCAAAC